UACAGAGGUGGCAAGCGUUGUUCGGAAUUACUGGGCGUAAAGGGAGCGUAGGCGGGUGCUUAAGUUGGAUGUUUAAAACCGGGGCCCAACCCCGGCGUGGCAUUCAAAACUGGGCAUCUUGAAUGGGACAGAGGCCAGUGGAAUUGGAGGUGUAGCGGUGGAAUGCGUAGAGAUCUCCAAGAACACCAGUUGCGAAGGCGGCUGGCUGGGUCCACAUUGACGCUGAGGCUCGAAAGCUAGGGGAGCAAACGGG
rnacentral:rRNA from 1 species